UUGAGGGCAUGGACAUAAAACCUUGAACCUCUCCCUCUUCCACAACGGAACCCCUCUUCCAUUCCAUUCAACUUCUCGACAGCGCAUUCCACACUCUCAAUUCCAUAAUGGAACCCCACAAGCGGAACCACACUCCAUGGCACCCAAAUGAGCAUCGACAACAACAACAAUGACCAGUAGCGGCAAAGAGAAGAGGCCGACGGUUUCGAAAAAUGCUGAGGUCUGAUAGAAGGCCACCUUUGAUAAAGGUUUUUGCCAAAGGUGUUGACAAGGAAAUGGUUGUAUUGAUGGUUGCAAGAGAUUCAAGGUUGGAGAAGGAAGAUGCUAUUGAUGCUGCAAUUGUGGCAAUGUUGGAUGAUCCUAAUGAGGAAUUACAGAGGUACACUUCCUUCCAUUUAAUCCAACUGAUAAAAGUACAUCGCUUACAUACAUUGACAACUUUGGUAAAAUGCAUAGAGCUAGCAAGGGUGCUCCAGAGCAGGUUCUGAUAUAUGAUUUGUGUUCUUCAUGUCCUAUCCGAAUUAAGGAUCACAUGUGAGUGGACUUUCACCAGAUGGUGCAUACACCUGGAUAUUCCUGCACAAAAACUGGGUCAAACUUUCUUUUCUUGUAAACUCUCUUUGUUUUAUAGGUAUGGCAGUCCAAUAUUGAACAUCAAGUGGCAUCGAACUCUUAAUUCUGAAUGAAUGAAGUUGAUUACUAUUGAUAAUCAUAUUGUUAGAAUAUGGGAUCCUGAGAUGGGGGAUGGCAUGACCAGCAUUGAACCGACUGAAACAAUAAGUGAUACACAGAGGAUGGUAGGUUGGAGUCUCUAGUUUUUAUAGUUGAUGUCAAAAUUCGUCGGUUGUAUACAUGAUGAGUAGUAGGAUCAGAGGCAACUAUAUUAUGUGAGUUUCACAUAAUUUUUCCAUCUUAUGCAAAAACUGUGUCAAAUUGUCAAAGAUCAGUGGAAACUGAUACUCUAAUGUUUGUUUUGACGACAUAAAAUUGUUUUAUUUUGGCUUUACUCAUGGCUCAUGCUAGACCUUUAUUCUUUUAGCUUAGGAAUUGAGUAUUGUGGUAUUGGCAACAACAGGGACUGGUAUCAAAGGAAUUGUGGAAAGCAUCCUCGAACAUUUUCCAAUUGCCAUCCAUGACACAAAGUCAGAGAAGAAGAACGUAGUGUUGUUGGCAGUGGAGAAUAGACAACCCCAUCAUGUAUGAUCUCUUAAAACAAAAAUGUAAGAAAGAGUGUAUUUAAUGCAGUGGAUAUUAAAGGAAACAAUGUCUUGCAUCUUAUUGCAAAU